rnacentral:misc_RNA from 1 species
GGAAUCUUAUGAUAUUGAAUUGAAAAAUAACCAAAAAUCCAGGUAUUGAGAGCAACAGCAGAACUCAAAGCAUCAAAAACAAUAAAGCAUUGUCUCCUCUUUCCAGAACAAAUAAGACAAAAACUCAAAUUUAAAAGCAAAUCGAAACAGAGAAAGGGCUAGAACUAAUAGAAAUUUCAAAAAUUUUCACCAGAUCAAAAUUAAUCGACACUUUGCAUAAUAUCCUCAGCCGUGAAUUUAGUGCCCUUAUCCUUAUCUGCAGAAGCACGGCCCUUGGCCUUACGAUCGAGCAGCGAUUUCCUGUCCUUAUCCAACUUGAGCUUUGUGAUCAUAACCUUCGACGGCUUGAUUCCGACAUUGACGGUGGAGCCGUUCACCUUCUCUCUAGUGAUGCGCUCAAUGUGAAUGAUCCACUUGCGACGGUAGACCUGCACGACCUUACCUUCACGGCCUUUGUAGGUUCCUCUCAAGACCUGAACUUCGUCGUCCUUGCGGAUCGGCAUCGAGCGGACAUUGUAUUUGGAGCGGAGGUCGCCGGAGAGGGGCGCACUCAUCAAAAUCCGCCGGACGCUCGACGGCGCGGAGAAGUGAGCCUUACGAUUCUUACGGCGGGAGCUGGAGACUCUAGGGUUAUACUUCAUUGUGAUUGAUUUAGGGUUUCCGUCUCUCUCCUGAGUGAAUCCGAGGGUAUUGACA